ACUUGUCCAUUUUACCGCAAUAAUAAGCUGAUUUGAGUGCUUCUACGAGUUUUGUACCCGUUCUUUUGUUGACACUUGUAGGAACAACCGCCGUUUCUUGCGGUAUAAAGUGACCUCGAAAUUCCAGCGAGCGCGAAACUUGCCGCAGUCUCGCAGAGAUCGCAGAAUAGUCUAUUCGUGCCUUCGAUGGGCACUGCUGCAGUCCCUACGCGCUGCCCUUAGUUCUUUUUAAACAACAGAAAGGCACAGUUGUGCUGCCAUGCCUCUAGUCGCGAUGUAAAAGAGGUGGCAACUCCCACGCGCCAACUCAUCCAUGCACUCGACUGUUGGUGCCGCAAAUGCUGUUUCUUUGGUCUUUUUUUCUCCACCGUUAUUACUCAUGAUUAUAUAGACUAUUAUUUACCUAUGCAGUGGUAUGGGCUGGUUGUACUGUUGCGCUCAGCAGUGGUCACAUACAUGGCUGCAUUUAAUUCCCUUCCUCGCUGCUUGUGAGCACCUUCCAUUUGUGGCAGUGCGAUAGCGGCUUAGCCACUCAUGUGUGCGAGCUGUGGAGUUGUGCCAUGCUAUGUGCACGUUGUAAGCGAGUAGGUAAACAACUCCACGGGACUUCUGCUGUCACUUACGGGCACUUUCAAAGCUUCUGCUGGUUUCUUCGGCCUGCACCUUAAAUUUGUUGUGCACACCAGGAUCUAGCCUGUCUCUGCCUUGUUGACAACAGCCCCAAGUACUGAUUGCUGCUCAUUUGCUAUGUCCAGAAUCUGCUGCAGUCAAGAGAAAUCCCAAGAAAAGAUGAGCAUGGACUGGGAAAGAUGGAGUGUGAGCCGAAAGUUAAAGAAGGGGAGAAUGCCGAAUGUUGUUGAUG